rnacentral:rRNA from 1 species
AGAGCUAGCCUACGGGAGACAGCAGUGGGGAAUAUUGGGCAAUGGGCGCAAGCCUGACCCAGCAACGCCGCGUGAAGGAAGAAGGCUUUCGGGUUGUAAACUUCUUUUGACAGGGAAGAGUAGAAGACGGUACCUGUCGAAUAAGCCACGGCUAACUACGUGCC